rnacentral:rRNA from 1 species
CAGCACCUCAAGUGGUCAGGAUGAUUAUCGGGCCUAAAGCAUCCGUAGCCGGCGCUGUAAGUUUUCGGUUAAAUCUGUACGCUCAACGUACAGGCUGCCGGGAAUACUGCAGCGCUAGGGAGUGGGAGAGGUAGACGGUACUCGGUAGGAAGGGGUAAAAUCCUUUGAUCUAUUGAUGACCACCUGUGGCGAAGGCGGUCUACCAGAACACGUCCGACGGUGAGGGAUGAAAGCUGGGGGAGCAAACCGGAUUAGAUACCCGAGUAGUCC